rnacentral:rRNA from 1 species
CCUGCACUCUGGGACAAGCCCUGGAAACGGGGUCUAAUACCGGAUAUGACCGUCUGCCGCAUGGUGGAUGGUGUAAAGCUCCGGCGGUGCAGGAUGAGCCCGCGGCCUAUCAGCUUGUUGGUGAGGUAGUGGCUCACCAAGGCGACGACGGGUAGCCGGCCUGAGAGGGCGACCGGCCACACUGGGACUGAGACACGGCCCAGACUCCUACGGGAGGCAGCAGUGGGGAAUAUUGCACAAUGGGCGAAAGCCUGAUGCAGCGACGCCGCGUGAGGGAUGACGGCCUUCGGGUUGUAAACCUCUUUCAGCAGGGAAGAAGCGAAAGUGACGGUACCUGCAGAAGAAGCGCCGGCUAACUACGUGCCAGCAGCCGCGGUAAUACGUAGGGCGCAAGCGUUGUCCGGAAUUAUUGGGCGUAAAGAGCUCGUAGGCGGCUUGUCACGUCGGUUGUGAAAGCCCGGGGCUUAACCCCGG